rnacentral:lncRNA from 1 species
UUUCUUUUUCCAAUACAGUAGUGAUGAUUAUUGCACAGUCUUCUUUUACUCGUUGAUACAAUGUCUUACCAGUUGAGAACUCUCUUUUUAUUUCUGAAUAUUACACAUUGAAUCUAACUAGACUACUAUGUUUGUUUGCAGUAAAACGAAAAGGGCUAUAAUGGUGUGAUUAAAGUAUAUGGUUGAUACAAAGCCCUAUGAAAUUUAUACAGUAUGGCUAUGAUGGAGGCUUGUCAACCCAAGGGAUUUGAUCUUUGGAAAAUGUUGAUUCUUUCCAAGAAUAAUGCAUUGGCCUUUGCCUUGAUGAGGAUCUCUUUCCUUUUUGCUAGAGAUAUAAUUGACUGAGAUGGCGCUCCUUCCAUUCUUGCCCUUCAUUUGAGUUUGCCGUAAUGGAUAAUCUUCAGUGACUUGCGUUUACGCUAUUGACGCAUCCGGCUGGAUAUGAUUUCGCAAAAUCAUGGGAGAGAUCCUGAUUUGCUAAUAGGAAGUGGAUCUUUUCCUUGUGUACCAACGGCUUCCUUUUACGAGAAUUUUCUUGCUUAUUCGAUUCUUCAAUCUUGCUUCCAUGAUUGGAUGUAGUGGAAACUUGCCUUUUAGCUUUGCUUCAUUAGUUUCAGUAGUUCUACUUCCUUCCGUGAGUAUCUGCACAUGUAUAUUAAUUUCAUCAUUAAAAUCUAAUCUAGCAAUCUCCCCUUUUUUUGUGAUGGCAAAAUUAAUAUACUAAAGUAAACAACAGUUGACUUCCCUGUUGGAUUGCUCCCCCUUAAUGUGUAGUAAACUUGACUUGAUCUCCCCUUGUUUAUGUGCACUAAAUGUGUUUCUCCCCCUAAUUAGAUGCAGUUGACUGGGACCUGCAUAAUUAUCUAACAAACAUAGAAAGCACAGUACAUACAGACAGACGAAGCACAAUAUAACUUGUCCUGUGCAGAUAUAAUAAUAACUAUGCCACAGCAUAUGCACAUCAGGCCCAUAAAGUUACAUCCUGCAUAGCAAAGAUAGCCAUAUAUAUAUUUCUCCCCCUUUUUGACAUCAGCAAAAGAGGGAGCAGCAAAAGUAUGAUCCACAGAAAAGAAAUAAAAUCAUCCACGGGCAAAGCCCAAUCACAACCAAAAAGUUAAAAACAACAUAAAAUUGUCUGAGGGCCACAAUUAUUCACUACGUAGAAAGUAAGUAAGAGUGUUGCAGAUAGCGUCUUUCAACUGGUCAAGCAUUGGCAUGCACCUCUUUGAACGCCUUGACGACAUUCUCCCGUACUCUUUGCACAGCCACCCUGAUUAUUGAAACAUCAGACCCAGUUUCCUUGGAGAUAGCAUGAAUGGCAUCCAGAGUUGACGUGAUAUCGGAGAGUUGAGAUUCCACAUAGCGCAACUUGUCGUUGAGAUAUGAGGGAAUGGACGGAGGCAGAGUAACCAAAGACGGCUUGAUUUCCUCAG